CUUCCUGGAACUUUUGGAGGCUACAUGGACCACGUGAUCGGCAAGCGUUUUGAGCUUCCGGUGGCGCCACUCUCUCUCUAGAGGCACACUACCCAAAACGAGCUGUCAAGAGAUUCUGCUCCACACAUUAACUGCGCUACAUGCUGAUGAAUAUUUUUAGAGAUGAAAGUCAUUUGCUAAAGGAGGGGUCAUGAUGCCUUGCAGCUGACGUCACAGACGCGUUCCACUGCGUUCGAAUUCUUGCCGCCGCCAUAUUGAGUACCUGCGCUGAGUACCUGAACCACACAGGUAGUCGGAGAUGCCGUCAAAAUGCUGUGCAGUUGGGUGUCACAAAAAGAAAGGAGACGGAGAUAUAGCUUUUUAUCGAUUACCAAAGGAAGAAGAACGUCGUCAGAGAUGGCUUUCAGCGAUCAGGAGGGUUAACUGGACGCCGACUGCAAGUAGCCGUCUGUGCAGUGUACAUUUCAUAUCAGGACACUGACUCAGAGGAGGAGCAGACAAAGGGUCUCAUUGUGGGUAUCCUUACUGUGUUGGAGGAUGACUGUACUUCACCUCCUGCAAAUGUGAGGAAUCUUGCUGUUGUUGUGGAAGAAACGAUCAUUCUACAGGAUCUUCCUGACCUGACAACGGCUUUUGCCUACCUCCUUGGGCUGAUCUACAGUUUGAACCUUCAGUACCCAAAAGACCUGAGGUACACUUUUGAAACUGUUCAGAAGAUUUUUAUGGGACUUGGAACAGAUCUCUCUGCAAGGGUAAGAUCCCUUGAAAACAGACUCCUUCAGUGAAUCCAGUAAGGGAGCUGUUGUGCUGUGAUCAACCGUAUCUUUUUUCAUUUCAGGCUUUCUUGAAAUUAGAGUUCUGACUUUUUUCACUGUAUAAACCCUUAGUUCUAAAGAAGCUGCAUAAUACAUAUAAAAAGUGUUUAGACGUUACAAUGCAUUGUGGUUAGUGUUAAAUGGUAUUUUCUUAAGUGAGUUUACCUCCUAACUGUCUGAUACAAAGGUUAUUUUGUUCUUAUUCUGGACUUGGCCUUGCCAUCUUGUUACACAUCUCAGGGUCUGUUAGCUGUACUUUGUUAUAUGUAAUCUUGUACACAAUCUUUUGAGCUGUGGUCUCAUACAUUUGUUAGGCUUGCACUAGUUUUAUUCAGCUUUUUGAGCUGUUGUAUAAAAAUGUUUUAUAUCUUUGUUUUAAUCAGUGUUACCUGUGAAGGUAAAUUUCAUACUUGCUGAACUUGGCGUUUUCAAAGAUCCCCAACUGCACAAGAAAAUGCUGAAUUGCUGUCUUACCAGCUGUACUCUAACAAAUGUUCUCAAUAAAAAAAAACUUUUCAAUUUU